rnacentral:rRNA from 1 species
GACGAACGCUGGCGGCGUGCUUAACACAUGCAAGUCGAACGGAAAGGCCCUGCUUUUGUGGGGUGCUCGAGUGGCGAACGGGUGAGUAACAUGUGAGUAACCUGCCCUUUACUUUGGGAUAACUUCAGGAAACUGGGGCUAAUACCGGAUAGGAGCCCCUGCUGCAUGGGGGGGGUUGGAAAGUUUCGGCGGUUGGGGAUGGACUCGCGGCUUAUCAGCUUGUUGGUGGGGUAGUGGCUUACCAAGGCUUUGACGGGUAGCCGGCCUGAGAGGGUGACCGGCCACAUUGGGACUGAGAUACGGCCCAGACUCCUACGGGAGGCAGCAGUGGGGAAUAUUGCACAAUGGGCGGAAGCCUGAUGCAGCAACGCCGCGUGCGGGAUGACGGCCUUCGGGUUGUAAACCGCUUUCGCCUGUGACGAAGCGUGAGUGACGGUACUGGGUGAAGAAGCACCGGCUAACUACGUG